rnacentral:rRNA from 1 species
UGGAGAGUUUGAUCCUGGCUCAGAGUGAACGCUGGCGGCGUGCCUAACACAUGCAAGUCGAACGAUGAAGUCCUUCGGGAUGGAUUAGUGGCGCACGGGUGAGUAAUGCAUAGAUAAUGUGCCCCUUAGUUCGGGAUAGCCACUGGAGACGGUGAUUAAUACCGGAUACUCCUUCUUGUCUCAAGGCAAGUCGGGAAAGUUUUUCGCUAAGGGAUCAGUCUAUGUUCCAUCAGGUAGUUGGUGAGGUAAUGGCUCACCAAGCCUAUGACGGAUAUCUGGUUUGAGAGGAUGAUCAGACACACUGGAACUGAGACACGGUCCAGACUCCUACGGGAGGCAGCAGUGAGGAAUAUUGCACAAUGGAGGAAACUCUGAUGCAGCAACGCCGCGUGGAGGAUGACGCAUUUCGGUGUGUAAACUCCUUUUAUUAGGGAAGAUAAUGACGGUACCUAAUGAAUAAGCACCGGCUAACUCC